rnacentral:rRNA from 2 species
UCCUUUGUUGCCAGCGGUCCGGCCGGGAACUCAAAGGAGACUGCCAGUGAUAAACUGGAGGAAGGUGGGGAUGACGUCAAGUCAUCAUGGCCCUUACGACCAGGGCUACACACGUGCUACAAUGGCGCAUACAAAGAGAAGCGACCUCGCGAGAGCAAGCGGACCUCAUAAAGUGCGUCGUAGUCCGGAUUGGAGUCUGCAACUCGACUCCAUGAAGUCGGAAUCGCUAGUAAUCGUGGAUCAGAAUGCCACGGUGAAUACGUUCCCGGGCCUUGUACACACCGCCCGUCACACCAUGGGAGUGGGUUGCAAAAGAAGUAGGUAGCUUAACCUUCGGGAGGGCGCUUACCACUUUGUGAUUCAUGACUGGGGUGAAGUCGUAACAAGGUAACCGUAGGGGAACCUGCGGUUGGAUCACCUCCUUACCUGAAAGAAGC